rnacentral:rRNA from 1 species
CAAUAGCGUAUAUUAAAGUUGUUGCAGUUAAAAAGCUCGUAGUUGAAUCUUGGGAGCGGGUGGGCUAGCGAGCCACAGCCCGUCCCUGCUUCUUGCCUCUCGGUGCCCCCUGGAUGCUCUUAGCUGAGUGUCCUGUGGCCCGAAGCACUUACUUUGAAAAAAUUAGAGUGUUCAAAGCAGGCCCAAGCCGCCUGGAUACUGCAGCUUGGAAUAAUGGAAUAGGACCACAGUUCUAUUUUGUUGGUUUUCGGAACUGAGGCCAUGAUUAAGAGGGACGGCCGGGGGCAUUCAUAUUGCACCGCUAGAGGUGAAAUUCUUGGACUGGCAGUUUAGACCAGAGCGAANGNAUUUGCNAAGAAUGUUUNCAUUA